ensembl:lncRNA
CUCUCUCUCUCACACACGACCCCUCCUCUCUUUUAAACAAGCUCACACACCCCUCCUCUCUCUCACACACAUACACUUUAAACUGUGCUCUUCUAACACACACACACACACACACACACACACACACACACACCUCCCUCCUGUCGUUCACACAUACACACACUCUCCUUUCUCACAAACACUGCAUCACUCACUCACACACACUCUCUCUCUCUCUCUCUCUCUCUCACACACACACACACACACACACACACACACACACACACACACGGUGUCUGUCUUUGUCACGCACACACUCACUCAGUCCCCGCCUUCUUUCCCCUCUGCACGCACGCACACACACACACUCUCUCUCUCACACACACUCACACACACAUACACACACUCACGCACUCUCUCUCUCACACACACACACACACACACACACUAACACGUACACACAAACACCUACAUACACACUCACACACACACACACACACACACACUCACACAAACACCUACAUACACACUCACACACACACACACUCACACACAAACACUUACAUACACACACACAUUCACGCGCACACUCACACACAAACACCUACAUACACACUCGCACACACACACACACACACACUCACGCGCACACUCACACACAAACACCUACAUACACACUCACGCGCGCGUACAAUAUUUAAUGGAUAAUGGUUUAUUGGAUCGUUUUAAUAGAUUUUAAUAAACAUUUAAUAUUAAAAUAAGAAGUUUAAACUUGAUUUUAUUUAGAGAUGUAUGAUCUUCUGUGGUAAAGUGACGUAGUUAAAGUCCGUGAAUGAGUGAAACACCUGAUUCUUUUAUUUAUAAGAACAAGAAUUUAACUUUAACAGUGUAUUACUGAACAAACAGUCACUUUUAUUCGAAAUAUUAGAUAUUAACGCCAUUAUUAAUAACAAUUAUUAACUUUUUUCAAAUUAAACUGACACUUUUAUCCUGACAGAAAAUUCACUUCUAGCUGUCAGUCAGAACUGGCUUAUAAAUUCCGCACGCGCUGUAUAGCUGGAAUAACGGUCACAAAUUGAGCUAAGCUAACUAACAUUUCGCCUUUUAUUUAUUCAUAUUCAUUUAAACUGAGCUGGUUUCUCUCACCCCCGAGGCAGCGGAGGCGGCUUGCUAGCCUCUCCGUCUCUGUCCCUGUCCAGCGCCAGAGGCUCCCGGCGGUCAAACUGCGAGCGAACGGUCUCCGCCAUGUUUACGCGCAGAGAUCUGGAUCGACUCCGCUGCUUUGCGGAGCUCUUCUCACACACUAGCGCUCGCGCCUAUACUGUGCGUACCGGUUGUUUCAGUCGCUACCACUUCCUUGCAGCCGCGGGGGUGAAACCCGUCCUCGUUCUUACAGUAAACAUAUUAAAAAAAUAGAACCACAGUACAAAAAUCCUACAAAUAGACUUAUAAAUGACAAAUAAAAUAAAAUGUAUAGUGCCGUUCUUUGUUUUAACUUUUAGAAAAGAUGUUUUGAGUUAUAAAACCUCGAGCGUGCACCCCUGACUGUAAUGGAUGAAUGAUCGCUCCCGCGGUAGUACAGGAGGGAGGGAGAGCUGGCUGUGUCUGAAACCUCACACUACCGCACUAUAUAGUACGCUACCUACGGUAACUAUGGUAACCUAUUCUGGAGAAUUAAUUUAAAAUACUAUGUAGAGCAGUAGUUUUCGGUUUGAAACGUGGCCGUCGUCUUUGUUUCCAAGCAAAGUUGAUUAUGGUCUAUUAGCAAAAUGUACACCCAAUAGGCUUUUGAAAGUGGUGUGACGUAAUGUUAAAUUGAUAUUAAUAAUGAUCUAUCUAUCUAUCUAUCUAUCUAUCUAUCUAUCUAUCUAUCUAUAAUGACGGUCAUGAUGAUGAUGAUCAUGGUGAUGAUGGUGUUGGUGGUGGUGUUGGUGAUGAUGAUGAUGACGAUGAUGGUGUUGAUGGUGGUGCUGGUGGGGGUGAUGACGAUGACGAUGAUGGUGUUGAUGGUGGUGCUGGUGGGGGUGAUGACGAUGACGAUGAUGGUGUUGAUGGUGGUGCUGGUAGGGGUGAUGACGAUGACGAUGAUGGUGUUGAUGGUGAUGACGAUGAUGACGAUGAUGGUGUUGAUGGUUGUGCUGGUAGGGGUGAUGACGAUGAUGGUGUUGAUGGUGGUGCUGGUAGGGGUGAUGACGAUGAUGGUGUUGAUGGUGGUGCUGGUGGGGGUGAUGACGAUGACGAUGAUGGUGUUGAUGGUGGUGCUGGUGGGGGUGAUGACGAUGACGAUGAUGGUGUUGAUGGUGGUGCCGGUGGGGGUGAUGACGAUGAUGGUGUUGAUGGUGGUGCUGGUGGGGGUGAUGACGAUGACGAUGAUGGUGUUGAUGGUGGUGCUGGUGGGGGUGAUGACGAUGACGAUGAUGGUGUUGAUAGUGGUGCUGGUAGGGGUGAUGACGAUGACGAUGAUGGUGUUGAUGGUGAUGACGAUGAUGACAAUGAUGGUGUUGAUGGUGGUGCUGGUAGGGGUGAUGACGAUGAUGGUGUUGAUGGUGGUGCUGGUGGGGGUGAUGACGAUGACGAUGAUGGUGUUGAUGGUGGUGCUGGUGGGGGUGAUGACGAUGACGAUGAUGGUGUUGAUAGUGGUGCUGGUAGGGGUGAUGACGAUGACGAUGAUGGUGUUGAUGGUGAUGACGAUGAUGACAAUGAUGGUGUUGAUGGUGGUGCUGGUAGGGGUGAUGACGAUGACGAUGAUGGUGUUGAUGGUGAUGAUGAUGAUGAUAGUGGUGGUGGUGGUAAUAGUGGUGAUGAUGAUGAUGGUGGUGGUUAUGGUGGUGCUGGCGGGGUUGAUGAUGAUGAGAAUAUCAGUAGUAGUGGUGCUGAUAAGUAGGUGGUGACAAUUGGUGAUGGUGAUGAUGGUGGUGGUGGUGGUGGUGGUGCUGGUGGAGGUGAUGAUGAUGAUGGUGGUGGUUGUGGAGAUGAUGAUGGUGGUGAUGGUGGUGGUGGUGGUAUCUUAAAAAAAACAGCUAAAGACCCUACCUCUUCUGUGAACACCUAACUAACCCCUAAUAAAUAAGUAAAUAAAUAAAUAAAAUAAAAUAAAAACCUUACUCUGGCACUUACACCUCUACUCUGCACACUUUGCUUCUUCUAGAACUCAAUUAAUACAUCUUGUAUGGUAGCACUACUUGUAUUGUUCUCUGCUUGAUAUAUCGCUUUGCUUGUAUUUUCUCAUUUGUAAGUCGCUUUGGAUAAAAGCGUCUGCUGAAUGAAUAAAUAUGGUGGUGAUGAUAGUGGUCUUGAAGUUGAUAAUGAUGGUGGUGGUUUGUCGGUGUUCAUAGAGCUUAUGAUUAUGAUAGAGUCUUUAUUUUUCACAUGCACAGUAUCUUUUAUUCGCAUACCUCACCAUGUCAGGAAGUUGAGGUCAGAGUGCAGGGUCAGCCAUGAUACAGUGCCCCUGGAGCAGAGAGGGUUAAGGGCCCAACAGGGGCAUUUUGGCAGUGCUGGGGCUUGAACCCCCGACCUUCUGAUCAGUAACCCAGAGCCUUAACCACCAAGCCACCACUGCCCCCGAUGAUGAUGAUGAUGAUGAUGAUAAUGAAGAUGGUGGUGAAGAUAAGUUGGUGGAAACAAUGAUAAUGAUGGUUGAUGAAGGUGAUGGUUUUGUUAACAGUGGAAAAUGGAGUGAUGCUGACAGUAAGGCUGAUGAUGAUAAUGAAGAUGGAGAGUUAGAGAAUAAUGGUUCUGGUGUUUUUUGGUGGAUGCUGAAGCUUUUAUAAUGAUGACGGUGAUGAUGAUGGUGAUGAUGAUGGUGGUGGUGAUAAAGUUCAUGGUAUUGUUAGUAAUAAUGAUUAUGUUCAUGAGGAUGAUGAGGAUAAAGUUGAUGAUGAUUAAGUUCAUGGUAUUGUUUGGGAUGAUGAUGAUGAUGAUUAUGAUCAUAGUUUUGAUGAUGAUGGAGAUGACAGUGAUGAUGGUUAUGAUGAUGAUGAUGAUGAUGAUAGUGGUGAUUAUGAGAUGGCAAAGAUGAUGGUGGUGGUGAUGAUGAUGAUGAUGAUGAUAGUGCUGGUGGAGCUCAUGAUGAUGAUAACCAUGAUGAUGACAAUGAUUAUGGUCAAGAUGGCUUUGUUGAUUAUAAUUAUAAUGAUAAUGACAAUGGUGAUGUUAGUGGUGUUCAUGGUAUUGUUGGUAGAUGCUGAGAAUAACUUUUAUAAUGAUGAUAAAGUUUGUUGUAUUGUUGGUGAUGAUGAUGAUUAUAAUAAUGAUGUUCAUGAACUGAUGAUGAUGGUGGAAAUGAUGAUGAUUAUGAUGAUGAUGAUGAUAGUAGUGGUAAUGAUGAUGGUGAUGAUGAAGAUAGUAGUGGUAAUGAUAAUGAUGGUGAUGAUGAUGGUGGUAAUGAUGAUGAUGGUGAUGAUGAUGAUGAUGAUGGUGAUGAUGAUGAUGAUGGUGAUAGUGGUGGUAAUGACGAUGAAGAUAAUGAUCAUGAUGGUGAUAGUGGUGGUAAUGAUGAUGAUGGUGAUAGCGGUGGUAAUGAUGAUGAUGGUGAUGAUGAUGAUGAUGAUGGUGAUAGUGGUGGUAAUGAUGAUGAUGGUGAUGGUGAUGAUGAUGAUGAUGAUAUGAUGGUGAUAGCGAUGGUAAUGAUGAUGAUGAUGAUGAUGAUGAUGAUGAUGGUGAUGAUCAUUAUGUGACAGUGGUGGUAAUGAUGAUGAUGAUGGGUGAUGAUGAUGAUGAUGAUGAUGAUGAUGAUGAUGAAGGUGAUGAUGAUGAUGGUGAUGGUGAUGAUGAUGGUGAUGUGGUGGUAAUGAUGAUGAUGAUGAUGGUGAUGAUGAUGAUGGUAAUGAUGAUGAUGAUGAUAAUGAUGAUGGUGAUAGUGGUGGUAAUGAUAAUGAUGAUGAUGAUGAUGAUGAUGAGUGUGGUGGUAAUGAUAAUGAUGAUGAUGAUGAUGAUGAUGAUAGUGGUGGUAUGAUAAUGAUGAUGAUGGUGAUGAUGAUGAUGAUGAUGAUGAUGAUGGUGAUGAUGAUGGUGAUAGUGGUGGUAAUGAUGAUGAUGGUGGUGAUGAUGAUGAUAGUGGUGGUAAUGAUGAUGAUGAUGGUGAUAGUGGUGGUAUGAUAGUGGUGGUAAUGAUGAUGAUGAUGAUGAUGAUGAUGAUGAUGAUAG